GCUUUCCCUUCACAUCUUGCCCUCUCGGAGCUUGGCGGUGCUCCGGGGAGUCAACACAGGGGGAUAGAGCAGCUUUCCCUCACUAAAACCCAGUGCGGAGCCGUUCCCUCCGCCCUGCAUCCUGUCGUGAGGCACAAAUAGUCCGUCCCUCCAUUCCUCCCUCACGGUCCCCUUGCUGCCCGGCUGAUGCCUUUCUCCCUCCGCAGUGUGUCCCGAGGUACCGGCGAGCCCUUCAAAUGCUGCCGAUGGGCAGGAGGCCGAGCGCGGCGGGCCUGGGCAGGGGGAAGCGCUGGCGAUCUGUGCUCAGGCCUUUGGACGCCUAUGGGUGAGGGGCACACCGAGCUCAUCGCUCCUCUUACAGCCUGAGGCUGAGGCCUCACAUAGCAACCUCAUGCUUGAAAUGUCUUAGAUGUGGAUAAUCACACCUAAAUGUGAAGCAAUACUCGAGACUUCUUAGGAAUAAAUAAUGCCUUGUAAUGGAAGGAAUGAAGACAACGUGUGCCAGGAACUGACAUUAAACAUCAGCUUAUGAUUUCCUGACUGGGUGAUUUCUGACUUCAUACAAGAUGAUUCCAGUUGUCAUCUCUAAGUAUCGUCUUGGAAGUAGAAUUUGAGACAAGCGAUGGCUUAAAUUAUGUCCUCAGUGAUCAUGUUGAAACAGGUUUCCUAACAAAAACUGCUGUAAUUUGACUCUGUUUGUGGAUUAUUGAAAUAAAUUGAGUAUUAAUUAAAAGUAUGCUACUAAAA